GCAACGGAUAUCUCGGCUCUCGCAUCGAUGAAGAACGUAGCGAAAUGCGAUACCUGGUGUGAAUUGCAGAAUCCCGCGAACCAUCGAGUCUUUGAACGCAAGUUGCGCCCGAGGCCACUCGGCCGAGGGCACGCCUGCCGGGGCGGCA
rnacentral:rRNA from 1 species